rnacentral:lncRNA from 1 species
AAACAACAUGGCAGCGCGCAGAGCAGCUGUAGAGCAGCGGCGUGCUCGUGUGGUGGACGUUUUUUUUUUUUCUGUUACACCGCAGCCGUCGCCGCUGCAUAGCGUAAUGGACGGUGCAGCAAAGUCCGGAGGUUACAGAAUUCAUUUGAAGAGCACACGAUGCUUACAUUUUGGCAGAAUAGCGAGCGGUAAGGCGGAUGCAACCGGGAUGCAGCGUUGAUCCAGGGGAAUCGAAAUUGUUUCGGCGUCGGCAUGUUUUCUUAAAGCAUUGCAGAGAUGAUCUGAAGUGUUUUAGCACGAAUGCCCAGCUUCAACAGCAGCAUCUUUCAACUGAGGUG